ACGCAGCGAAUUGCGAUAUGUAAUGUGAAUUGCAGAUCUACAGUGAAUCAUCGAAUCUUUGAACGCACAUUGCGCUCCUCGGUGUUCCGAGGAGCAUGCCUGUUUGAGUGUCAGUAAAUUCUCAACCCCUCUCGAUUUGCUUCGAGGGGGAGCUUGGAUAGUGGGGGCUGC
rnacentral:rRNA from 1 species